UCAAAAUAUUAACCAGAAAUUUACCGGUGGCCUUCUCGUCUUACAGCUAUUUGAGUUACUUACAUGUCCUAAGAUUUUCCCCUUUCUGUCGGCUGUUUUGUUUUCUCCUUGGGUCGCCAUAAUUUCUUGUCUUUACUUAUAUCGAUAAAAUAUCAGUGUUUGUGCUGUAUUUACCACCUGACUUGUUGCCCGUAUACCUCACUUCCGGUAGAAUGCUCAGAAUUUAUCCGGAAGUAGCCUCUCUCCUACUGCAAUCCAGUUCCCUUGAAAACACGAGAGAGGAAUUAUCGUAGAAGUUUCAGAAAAGAUUGGUGUAGUGUUGAAUGAGGUGAUGACAAGACACAACAGCAGUGUCUAUAGUGGCAGGCCUGAGGAAAGCUUUAAGAUAGGAAAGUUGAUUAAUUUGAACUUUGAUGAGGCAUGGGUAAUGCACUUUGAUCCCGCUAUGAGAGAAAAAGGCUAUUAUGAGCCACUUAACACAAAUUGAUUGUUUCGUAUUUUCCAUCAAAUAGAGAAACUUUCUAAUAAUUUCAGCAACAACUGUAAAAUUAGCUUUAAACACAUCAGUCAAAACAAAGAAAACUAAUGUGAUUUGUGAAUUCAGUUGUCAUAUCAUGGCACAAUACUUUGCCAAGCAAUAAAUUCCUUCUUGAUCGAGCUCGUUUGAUAGUAUGAAUCUACAUUCAACUUUUUAUCACUGCCCUCUUUAUGGACCUUAACUUUAAUGUCUUCGAGCUGAAAUUAAUGGUAUGCAAACUAAGAACUUAGCCAAUGCAAUGCUCAGCUAUUAUAUUAACCUUGCACUAAGUAAAAAAAUACCCU